UACGUAGGGUGCAAGCGUUAAUCGGAAUUACUGGGCGUAAAGCGUGCGCAGGCGGUUUUGUAAGUCUGUCGUGAAAUCCCCGGGCUUAACCUGGGAAUUGCGAUGGAGACUGCAAGGCUGGAGUCUGGCAGAGGGGGGUAGAAUUCCACGUGUAGCAGUGAAAUGCGUAGAGAUGUGGAGGAACACCGAUGGCGAAGGCAGCCCCCUGGGCCGUAACUGACGCUGAGGAGCGAAAGCAUGGGGAGCGAACAGG
rnacentral:rRNA from 1 species